rnacentral:rRNA from 1 species
UACGGAGGCCCCAAGCGUUGUUCGGAUUUAUUGGGCGUAAAGGGUGCGUAGGCGGCAUCUUAAGUCUGGUGUGAAAGGCAUGGGCUCAACCUGUGGACUGCAUUGGAUACUGGGAUGCUGGAGGACUGGAGAGGAGAAUGGAAUUCACGGUGGAGCAGUGAAAUGCGUAGAUUAUCGUGAGGAAGGCCAGUGGCGAAGGCGAUUCUCUGGACAGUACCUGACGCUGAGGCACGGAAGGCUGGGGGGAGCGAACAGG